UAUCCGUCGCGGGCGUAGGAAAUUUGAGAGGACCUGUCCUUAGUACGAGAGGACCAGGAUGGACAUACCACUGGUGUACCAGUUGUUCCGCCAGGAGCACCGCUGGGUAGCUAUGUAUGGACGAGAUAAACGCUGAAAGCAUCUAAGUAUGAAACUCGCCUCGAGAUGAGAUUUCCCAUUUCCUUCGGGAAAGUAAGACCCCUC
rnacentral:rRNA from 1 species